rnacentral:tRNA from 1 species
CCUUCGAUAGCUCAGUUGGUAGAGCGGUGGACUGUAGAGUGUUAACAAAUCUUAAGUAGUAGAAAUCCAUAGGUCGCUGGUUCAAAUCCGGCUCGAAGGA